GACGAACGCUGGCGGCGCGCUUAACACAUGCAAGUCGAACGGAAAGGCCCUGCUACUGUGGGGUGCUCGAAUGGCGAACGGGUGAGUAACACGUGAGUAACCUUCCCUUGACUUUGGGAUAACUUCAGGAAACUGGGGCUAAUACCGGAUAGGAGCUCCUGCUGCAUGGUGGGGGUUGGAAAUUUCCGGCGGUUGGGGCUGGACUCGCGGCUUAUCAGCUUGUUGGUGGGGUAGUGGCUUACCAAGGCAUUGACGGGUAGCCGGCCUGAGAGGGUGACCGGCCACAUUGGGACUGAGGUACGGCCCAGACUGCUACGGGAAGCAGCAGUGGGGAAUAUUGCACAAUGGGCGGAAGCCUGAUGCAGCAACGCCGCGUGCGGGAUGACGGCCUUCGGGUUGUAAACCGCUUUCGCCUGUGACGAAGCGUGAGUGACGGUAAUGGGUAAAGAAGCACGGGCUAACUACGUG
rnacentral:rRNA from 1 species